rnacentral:rRNA from 1 species
GUAGGUGAACCUGCGGAAGGAUCAUUAUUGAAUUAAUGUAGAGUUUGGUUGUAGCUGGCUCCUAAUUAAACUUGGGGGCAUGUGCACACCUUUCUCUUUCAUCCCAUACACACCUGUGCACCUGUGAGACAGAUGUUUUGUGGGGGGGAAGGAACUUUAUUGGACCUUCUACUCCCCCUUGACUUCUGUCUACUUAAUUCAUAUAAACUCAAUUUAUUUUAAAACGGAUGUAAUGGAUGUAACACAUCUAAUACUAAGUUUCAACAACGGAUCUCUUGGCUCUCGCAUCGAUGAAGAACGCAGCGAAAUGCGAUAAGUAAUGUGAAUUGCAGAAUUCAGUGAAUCAUCGAAUCUUUGAACGCACCUUGCGCUCCUUGGUAUUCCUUGGAGCAUGCCUGUUUGAGUAUCAUGAAAUCUUCAAAGUCAAACCUUUUGUUAAUUCAAUUGGUUCUGCUUUGGUAUUGGAGGAUUAUUGCAGCUUCACACCUGCUCCUCUUUGUGCAUUAGCUGGAUCUCAGUGUUAUGCUUGGUUCCACUCAGCGUGAUAAGUUAUCUAUCGCUGAGGACACCCUGUUAAAAAGGGGUGGCCAAGGUAAAUGCAGAUGAWCCGCUUCUAAUAGUCCAUUGACUUGGACAAUAUCUAAUUUAUGAUCUGAUCUCAAAUCAGGUAGGACUACCCGCUG